GUCCAUGCCGUAAACGUUGGGAACUAGAUGUGGGGGCCAUUCCACGGUCUCCGUGUCGCAGCUAACGCAUUAAGUUCCCCGCCUGGGGAGUACGGCCGCAAGGCUAAAACUCAAAGGAAUUGACGGGGGCCCGCACAAGCGGCGGAGCAUGCGGAUUAAUUCGAUGCAACGCGAAGAACCUUACCAAGGCUUGACAUAUACGAGAACGGGCCAGAAAUGGUCAACUCUUUGGACACUCGUAAACAGGUGGUGCAUGGUU
rnacentral:rRNA from 1 species